rnacentral:rRNA from 1 species
UACAGAGGUUUCAAGCGUUGUUCGGAUUCAUUGGGCGUAAAGGGUGCGUAGGCGGUGCGGUAAGUCGGGUGUGAAAUCUCGGAGCUUAACUCCGAAACUGCAUUCGAUACUGCCGUGCUUGAGGACUGGAGAGGAGACUGGAAUUUACGGUGUAGCGGUGAAAUGCGUAGAUAUCGUAAGGAAGACCAGUGGCGAAGGCGGGUCUCUGGACAGUUCCUGACGCUGAGGCACGAAGGUCAGGGGAGCAAACGGG